ensembl:lncRNA
AGAGCCCCCACGAGGUUCACAAGUCCAAUCACUUAACCCCUUCAGUACCCUCGUCACUGACACUUGCGGGCGCCAUGACUGACCCAGAAGGGCCACCGUAGUCGUCCGGUUACUCUCCAAAGAAGUCUUUAAUUCUGACGGUUUCUCAUACUGACCUUUCCCAUUUUUCCUGGAUCCGCGCCCAUAACCCGAAAUCCAUCUCGGUACCCCGGCGCCUCACCGCAGUAUAAUCUCUUCCCAUUCCGAGUGGCCAGUGCGCAGACUCAGUCACGCUGUGGGCCUCCACCUGGCAAGCUUCCAACGAACAGGAUUCUGGGUUUCUGAACUUUAACGGGAGGCCUGAUGGCCGCGCCCUCUUGACGCCUUGUCGGGAGCAGCCAUGUUUCAACCCGUGCCGUACAGCGGCGAUUAGGCCCUUUGUUAGACCUGAGGGUCAAGCUGUUUCCGGGCUGGGAGAGACAAGUGCUUCUGGAGCUCUAAGUACACACGUCCCUGCAGCUUUCAGCGUCUCAGAAGCCAAAACCGGCUGCGAGCAAUAUGGAGGCGCCCUAACCUCCAAGCUAAGCUUUGUCUCCAGCAGAGCUGGCGCUGAGAUAAGAUGGCCUCGAACACUUAUACUGUUUCUUACGUGCAGUGGGCGGGGCCGCCUCAUAGGAGGAGCUCCCUCAAACAAGGUGAAACUUUUCUUGGAUCAGCUCUAAAAGAGCAUCGAAGAAGAGAAGCUCUUCCCUUGGGGACACUGAGGACACCAGAGGGAGGGCCGAGAACUCCGACCUCUGCUCAAGUAACUUUGGUGGGCUUCCAGGAACAGGGAAGUGUUCAAGGACUCAUAAAGCUGAAAAACAAACAUGCUGGGAGAAACAAGAUAGCUGAUUUAAUUUCUCACUGUGGUCCCUGGUGAGCUAAUCCCUAACAUAAUCUCAUUUUUGGGGGCUGGAGAGGGCCCAAGUAACAGUUCACCUCAUUGGUGCUCAUCAGAAAAUUCCUGACUGGUUAAUGGUGAAGUUUUGGGGUGUUGGUGGGGUCCAGAGCCAACCGCCAAGAAAGAAUUCGUGAAGGCAUCUUUGGUGCAAAAGUGAUUUUAUUAAAGGUUGCGAUAAAGGAAGGAGGCUUACAAGAUCCUCAAGGUUGGGACAAUAUUAACCUACCAUCUCUUUUGCCCCCAGCAAAGUGUCAUCCUUGAGGCAGCUGAGCUCCUAGACGGAGGUCACUCUGCCAGUCUCAAGGACUUGUCAAGGGGCUGUAGGCAGAAAGGGAAUUCAAUUUUUCGUUUGCCUUAGUUUUCCACAUUACCAUGGCAAGCAUUUAAACCUCUUUGUUCUUGGGUAGCCGGGAGUGUCCCAGGAAUAUCACACAGAUCCCACCUGGGGUGGGGGUGAGGGUGCUGACUUGUGUUUUACCCCUCAGCCUGCCUCAUGCUCCUUCAUCAGUUAAGACUUACCUUUCUAUGGGAGGUUGAAACUACAGUUAAGUUAGGUAUUAUUAAGCCCUGGCUUGGAGACUUGGAUAAGUGACAUCAUUUGGGGCCUGUGGUUUUCUUUCUAACAGUGGCUUACCCCGGAUGCUGACCUGAGACAAGGAUGUACGUGUGGGUAGUUUAUUUGGCAGGUAGGGGAUAGGAAAGUGACAAAGGAGGAAUGGAACCCAAUACAGAGUGUAUCAAUGAAGAGAUCAUCCCUGUGAGCAAUGGGGGCUCCGUUCUGUGGGGAACUCUUGAAGACAGUGUGGGUACAAGUUGCCCCAUUCAAGGGCCCCUGAAGCUGAGAUAUUUGUAAUCUCUCGCUCCUCAUUGUUGGGUACGACUGCAAGUAGCUCCAGCGCUUCUAGCCUGUCUCAUGGGUAAGGCCUCAGGCAGAGUCUGUAGGAACAGUAGGCAGAGUUUCUGUUAGAUUCAUUUACUCCUGUUCUUUUUCUUCUUCUUUUUUUUUAAAAUGUUUUAUUUAUUUUUGAUACAGAGAGAGACAAAGCAUGAGAGGGGGAGGGGCGGACAGAGAAGGAGACACAGAACCGAAAGCAGGCUCCAGGCUCUGAGCUAGCUGUCAGCACAGAGCCUGACGCGGGGCUCGAACCCACAAACGUGAGAUCUGACCUGAGCCGAAGCCGGAGGCUUAACCGACUGAGCCACCCAGGCGCCCCUCUUCUUCUUCUUUUUAAGUUUAUUUAUUUUGAGAGAGAAAGAGGGAAAGAGAGAGAAACCCAAGCAGGCUCCACACUGUCAGUGCAGAAACCAAUGUGGGGCUCAAACUCAUAAACAGCGAGAUCAUGGCCUG